GUUCCCGGUCGUCGAGCGGGCGGUCGGCCGUGCUGCCGGUACGGCGCCGGGCGCAGCGUUCCAGAACGUUCUCGGGCGCGCC
rnacentral:tRNA from 1 species